rnacentral:lncRNA from 1 species
AUCACUUCAUACAUUCAAAAUGUAUAAACGUGGAGUAUACGGGUAGAGGACAUUGUGUAGUAGCUUUAAAACCUUUCAAGCUCGUUUGUUUCAAUCUUCACUAAGUUAAUGUCUUGUUAUUAAGUGACUAAAGUCUUUAAACAUUUUAUAGAUUUAGAAACUUCUUUCUUGGUUUAAUCACUAACACAAUUGACAUUUUAAAACAAUUUAAAGAAUGCCCAAUUAGUUGUUCAAAACUAUUAAUUGAAUCAAGAGUGAUCUUGAUUAUUGUGGUUUAAGUGAUAACCACAUAAGAAACGUUUUUCUUAUUACUUAUAUCAUUAUAAUGUGAUCUUCCUUUUCUUCAAGAAAGGAAUCUCUAGAUCUUUGUCAAUUCUUAUAGAACUCAUAGGUAGACAAUUGGAACCAAAUUUAAAGAUUCAUUGUAUCCUUCUAUGUCCUACAUGUGAGAUCUAUCCAUAAUUGAUAAGUCUAAAGUUUGGUUAUCACAUUACAAUAAGCGAUAUAAAUCUUGUAUCUCAACUAGGAUACAACAAGACAAUAUUCAAUUCAUAACACUACUUUAAGGAAAUAAUAUAUUAGAAGGCAUUCAUCACAUUACAUUAAUAUGAUAAUUCAAACAUUCAUAAUGUUUAAUACAAAAAGAAUUAGCUCUAUACAUUUAGAGACUAAAUAAAUACCUUCAUACAUUUAGGCACUAAUAGUGGUCUUCCAUCAUAUGAAGCCACUUAAUAAGUUCUUAACAAAAUAAGAAAGUUUAAAGACUAUCUUUAAAUGCCUAACAAACUUCCUAAGUAGUAAGCAAAAACAUGAUGGCCGAACCCUUCUCCACACUUUUCUUUGCUUGUUCCUCUUCUACUUGGCUCCUCCACCUAUAUACAAUUAUACAAGUGAUUAGCCCUUUAUAUCAAAUAUAAAUUUUAGAAGAUCUAACAAUUAGAAUUGACAAUAAGAACAUAAACCAUACCUUGUGGCUUGUCCUUAAGAGUUGCAAGGUAUAACCUGCAAUUCCUCUUCCAAUGCCCCUCAUUUCCACAGUGGUGGCAAGUCCCCUUGGGCUCCUUUGCCUUCUUUUUCCUCAUUCCUCCUUGCGGCUUAGGAGUGGGAGACUUCUUCUCCUUCCUUUUGCCUUUGCCUUGCGGCUUGGCCUUGGAAGAUGAUGGCUUGUUGUAGGCUACUGCAGCAGUCCUUACAACGUUCUCCUUCUUCAUAGUCUUCUCGGCAGUUACUAACAUGUUUAGUAACUUAGAGAGAGUACUAUCCAUCUUAUUCAUAUUGUAGUUCAUUACGAACUGCGAGAAUGAAUAAGAAAGAGAAGCCAAUAUGAAGUCCUGGGUGUUGGAAAUGUGCCCUAAAGCCAAUCAUAUGAUGAUACUUUACGGACAUUUUACAUGUUAAACUAAUCUAGUUUAACUAUAAAGGGAAAAGAUUAUUGUUUGAGCCGUCUCAUAUAAAUGUUAUAUGCUUAAACGAUAAAGUCCAAGGAAUAUGUGAUUGGAAGAAUGUAAUCUAAUAAAGUUAGAUUCAUGAGACCAUUCUUUCGUAGACACAUCCUAAAUGUUCCUGAUCAUAGGAUUGCCAAUUGGG